GCUGUUAUGAGCCUUUGAUCACUUUAAUCACUGUACUUAAGAAUAGCUUGAUCUAUUUUUUUCUGCUAAAUUGACAUUCUACAAGGCAAGAAGGUAAUUAGCGAUGUCUACUCUGCUGAAAUAAUAUAGCAUCUCACUUGUUCCCUCAUGAGCUGUACAGCUUGGCUAUAGCCAUUGUUAGACAUAAAAAAAGCUUCCUUCUUCUUAAAGAACAAGAAAUAAAAGACAACUUUGUGUAAGCUUAUUAAACACUGCGUUCACGUUCCAGCAUAGAUGUGUCUCUUGAAACACAAGCAAAGAGUUCUAGCUUUCCUUUGCCCUGGGAGGCCUGGAUGCUGGAGUAGCCCAUGCACUCCUCAUCUGUACUUCUCAUUUGGCUCAGGGCUCAAGCACAUGGCUAAAAACUAAGCUUUCUCGUUUGGGGCAUUGCUUUGCAUCCCUAAGAUGCUUUAAGCAGGAUGUUCUGCUUUUACUGCUUGAUCUCAUCUGAGUCAUUUAAAUACAAAGAAAGUGCUAGCUAUCUGAAUAUUAUGUAAUGACCUGAUUUGUGUGUGCUUUCAUAAAAGAUCAGAUCCGCACACCAGAGUGGCAGUGCUUUCACUCUCCCCAGAGGACUCUCUAGCUGAUUUGGCAGUGUUACACUGCAGAAUGACUCUGCCCCUUGAGCAGCAAGCCCAUCCUUUUUACAUAAACCAGCCGAGAAAGCAAAGAGGUGAGAGGUGUCCAUCUUGAAACAUCUCAGGUCCAUCUCAGAGAAGGGUUAACACAUAUUUAUUUAUGUAUUUAUAUAUCUUAUUUAUUUAUUUAUGUAAUAAAUUUCCAAACUUCAUGCUUUAGGAGUGGAAUAGGUUUGUUUUAGAAGUGGAAUAACUGCCUCUGUUCAUAUAAAUGCCACAGCCUCCCCAGUGGGUGGGAAGAGUCAUUGAAUCAUAGGGGUUGGAAGGGAUUUCUGGAUAUCAUCGAGUUCAACCCCCAAAGAGCCUCCCUCAAGUGCAGCAUGCACAGCUCUUCAGAGCGUCUCAGGGCUGCAUUAUUACAUUUGCAACUGCUCCCACAACAAGCUGAUGCCAGCAGGGAGGGAGAGGGCACACAGAGCUGCUCACAGUGCUGUGACCUGCACUCCCUGGCCUGUUCUGCUUGUCUAUUAAGGAACAAAAUUAGGAUCACCAGUUGUCACUGCAUAGGGUCUGCCAAAGUGCUGGCUUCUGGAAGUCGUGGGAUGAACUGGUGGUUAGGCCACAUAUUGUGUUGAAAAUGAACGGCUCACAGGCCCCUACCCCUCAAGUAAUAAAUGGUAUUGUCUGCAUUAGAAUGUCUUCCACCAGCAAAACUGUUAGUCUUCCAUUAGAAGGACAGGAGUCAAUUGGCUGCAUGUGGAUGGACAGAAAGUAUGAGUUUCUCCUAAUUCAAGAGCUGCUGAGAUGCUUGACCCUCUUCUACAGAAACUGCUUCUUUCAAAGAUGACAGGAUCUAGGCCAUAAGCACAAAAAUUAACAGUCCAUCAAGAAUCUGCAUUUCUACACUGCAGUGAAAUCCUGAGGAGCUGAUGUCUUUUCCAUGGUCAGACAAUCUGGUUGCCGAGCUGGUGGCUGCAGCAGUGUUCUGUGCUUCUGCAGGCAUUCCCCACAACAGCAGUCUCCUCCUCCUCCCUUUGCUCCUAUCAGCCAGGCUCCAGUGAGAGCUACAUCCACAGCACCCCAAUACUUAGCCUCUCAGUACCUGAAAUGGUAAUAGCACUGUUUUGGUUUUAUUUCCCAGACAGAAGACUGUGCUGUUUCUGGCUCCUUGCUGCAAUAAAUUGGCAGAUGAUGCUCUAAUGAGAACAAUAACGCACCCACCCUACCGCCUUUGAUCACUUAUGUGCUCUUUUGCAGCUUGUGAAAGGCUCUAAAAGCUUUCACCAGACAGGUUGUUUGAUUUUUAAGGAGUGUCACUAGCGCUGUUUACCCCAGACAGGCAGAAGCCUGUUUUUGCAGUGUGUGGUUGCUGGGACAAUUGACAUCAGCUAAGUGGCCAAUAUGUAGUUUGACCCAAGAAAUGCCAGGUUCCGGCCAUUUGCCAGCAAUUUCAACAGCAGAAGCUGCCUCAAACCAGCGUAUCUGAACUUAGUGCUUCAGCGAGCUGCUUAAUGGGUUGUAUGCUGGGGUGCAGUCAGUGGGCACCAAAUGUGCUGUGCCAUUUCACAUCAGCUGGUGGUCAGCAAUACUAUUGCACGAUAGUGCUGAUGGUCAGCAAUUGCACAUAUACUGGUACUAGCUAUAUUCUCAUGACAAAGUGAUCUGUGUUCUUGACCCUCUUCCUUUAUUCUGAGCUACCCAUGCAAGGAACAGAGUUGCACUGAAUUUGCACAGAAUGGAUUGUGACAAUCGUUUCCGCUUGUGCACUCCUAGCUACAGUCCCAUGACCAUCUUUGCUCUCACUGAAAAUUACUUGGCAACACAGAUGAGCUCCCGUGGGAAGUCACCAGGACGUGAUUAAAGUUACCCACAAAACAGAUGUUUCUUUGGAAGAAAUGUAUUGUAAUCAAUCUGUAAACUCAGAGCAGUUAAAAUGGAGGCUGGAAACAACAACCAAAAAAUGCUGAAUACAUCUUAUCUUACCAUUUGGCUUGCUGUUUCCCAUUGCAUUCUUCUUGCCCCAGCCACCUCAUCCUGCAGCAUCUCAGUCUGAGUGACUGAACUGACAGGUGAUCUUUUGUGACUUUCUGCAUACCUUUGUCUACUUCAGCACCCAAAUCAAUGGUCUCUGGUUAUUUAUGCAUCUUUAUCUGAAGGAGAAUCGACUCCAUUUUAAUUGCAUAUGAACGGGAUGAUAAUAAAGCACUAAUUGUUUUUUCUGCCCAUGAACUGAUCUGUAUCUGGUUGAAUUUGCCCUUGAUGAUCUCAUAACACUGGCAAAAUUGCAAACAAGUACACACAGACCUGCUGCUUGCAUUAGAAGAAUCCAGGUAUCUCUCAUUUUUCACAGGCUACUCGGUGUCUUUUCAUUUCAGCAGCUACACAGCAUCACUGAUGUGUAACUGCUCAGCAGAUAUGCAAAUACUAUGUAUCCUGUAUACUGGCUAUCCCUAUAUGUGAGGUUAAGUGAGGUUUCCGUUGGGAGAGAGUGCGUUGUCCUUUUGUGGAAAUGAAAUCUUUGUUCUCAUUGAUUAAACAAGCAAGGAAUGGCCCACACAGAGGAAUCCUGAGUUCACAAUACCCUUCUAAAAUGCAGAGCUGGUGAAACAUAUAUCCGUCAUCCAUUGCUUUCUGUGUCUUAUAGCGUACCUACUGCUGUGAUAACUGAGCACCUGUCAAGAUACUAUAUUGCUAGUCAUGGAAAUGGAAGUCAUCUCAGAUUUAUCAACAAAGAAGCUGACAUUGCUGUCUGGCAAGUUUCUCAGCUUUUGUGCCUCAACCUUGACCCUCAAGGAUCUACUUCUCAAGGCAAGAAAGCAGCCAAUUCUCCUCACGGAUUUAAUCACCAUUUCCUCUGCUAUGGGUUCUGAUUCAUGAGGUGGUAGAGAUCUCCUUAACCAAACAAGAUCACCUGGAAGUAGUCACUGCUACAGGACAUAGAGCACACACAUGCCACAAGCUGAUUUUGGCAUCCCAGGUCCCAGUAAUACCCACAGUGAAGUGGAAAUCUGCCCCUUACUUGAGACCACAAGUGGAUCACUGAUGCCAGUGGGCACCUUUCAGACAUCAAGGCUCUGGCCAUAUUUGAACUGCAAGACAUUUUUUAUACCCUCAUUGACCUUUGAGCUCACAAAGCAUGCUCAAAAUCUUACAAAAAAGCCACGCUCCAAAGUGAUCAAGUGAUAUUAGGUUGUGUCUCAAAAACCACUAGAGGUUCCCUCUAUUUCCCAGAAGGUGUCCCAGAGCUGGAGCCAAUUCAGCUGCCAAGAUGCUGCCUUUCUCACCUGCUGAUUGCAAUUAGCCACUGCCAGCUGGGACCUGGUGUGCCAUUGAAGAGCUAACAAGAAGCAGAGACCAGCAUGAUGCCUCGACAGUGCAUACACAGUGAAUAAAUAAGAAAUGCUGCACUGUAUUCCUGAAGUUACUUCCUAUGCAACUUCAAUUGCUUCCUAAGCAAUUCCUAUGUCCCAACAUGCAUGUCAGAGGUUCAGCUUGCUUCUCGUGCUCUUACCUCAUGCUGUCACAUACUUGCCAGGAAGGAAACAUGGGCAAUAAAGGUUA